GUGCUCAUCAAGGCUGUAAAACAUUGGUUCCCAUAUGAUCACUGAAGUUAAGCAACAUCGAGCUUGGUCAGUACCUAGGUGGGUGACUACAUGGGAAUAGCAGGUGCUGUAA